rnacentral:rRNA from 1 species
GGUUAAGCGACUAAGCGUACACGGUGGAUGCCCUGGCAGUCAGAGGCGAUGAAGGGCGUGCUAAUCUGCGAUAAGCGCCGGUAAGGUGAUAUGAACCGUUAUAACCGGCGAUACCCGAAUGGGGAAACCCAGUGUGAUUCGUCACACUAUCAUUAACUGAAUCCAUAGGUUAAUGAGGCGAACCGGGGGAACUGAAACAUCUAAGUACCCCGAGGAAAAGAAAUCAACCGAGAUUCCCCCAGUAGCGGCGAGCGAACGGGGAGGAGCCCAGAGCCUGAAUCAGCAUGUGUGUUAGUGGAAGCGUCUGGAAAGGCGCGCGAUACAGGGUGACAGCCCCGUACACAAAAGCGCAUAUGCUGUGAGCUCGAUGAGUAGGGCGGGACACGUGGUAUCCUGUCUGAAUAUGGGGGGACCAUCCUCCAAGGCUAAAUACUCCUGACUGACCGAUAGUGAACCAGUACCGUGAGGGAAAGGCGAAAAGAACCCCGGCGAGGGGAGUGAAAAAGAACCUGAAACCGUGUACGUACAAGCAGUGGGAGCCCCACCACUAAGCCAGUGGUGAACUCCACAUACGCAUCCUUUGCUGAGGAUACGGUUAACGGAGCGAAAGCG